GACGAACGCUGGCGGCGUGCUUAACACAUGCAAGUCGAACGGGAUUUAGUAGACAGAAGCCUCGGCUAAAGAUUACUAAUGAGAGUGGCGAACGGGUGAGUAACGCGUGAGCAACCUGCCUAUGACAGUGGGAUAGCCUCGGGAAACCGGGAUUAAUACCGCAUAAAAUCGUAGAAACACAUGUUUCAACGGUCAAAGAUUUAUCGGUCAUAGAUGGGCUCGCGUCUGAUUAGCUAGUUGGUGAGAUAACAGCCCACCAAGGCGACGAUCAGUAGCCGGUCUGAGAGGAUGAACGGCCACAUUGGAACUGAGGCACGGUCCAAACUCCUACGGGAGGCAGCAGUGGGGAAUAUUGCACAAUGGGGGAAACCCUGAUGCAGCGACGCCGCGUGAACGAAGAAGGUAUUCGUAUCGUAAAGUUCUGUCCUAUGGGAAGAUAAUGACAGUACCAUAGAAGAAAGCUCCGGCUAAAUACGUG
rnacentral:rRNA from 1 species